AAGCUAUUGAGCACUUAUCUGUGCUAGAGAUGGUGAUUCCUACGCUGUGGGUACUAAGAGAACCAGAAAUGCUCCCUCUCCGUCCACGGAGCCAACCGGCUACGGCAGGAGGAGAUGUGACACACUGGCGUCUGAAUCAUAAGAAAGCCUGGCCCUGCCAGGCUUUGAAAACCUGCACAAUACCUUUGAAAUGAACUCCAAACGUGAGUCUAUGCUUUCCAUUCUUAAUACACUGAGAAUAAAUAUUGCCUGUGAGCGAGCUUACUUCAUUUUCACUGUUAUCUCCUUCAGAAAUGCUGUGUGCCUGUGUUCAACUUUUUAAAAUUAAUAUUCAUAAACCUCAUUCAUUCAAAUGCAUGAGGGGAGAAACAGAACAGAUAUGAUGUAUUUUUUGACCUCAAAGAGCAUACAAUCUGGGAGGAAGGAUAUCCUUAAUUUGAAGGAAACCACUAGAAAAACAUACAUGCUAAAGUGGAGCACGAGACAUUUAUAUCAAAGAGCGGUGAGGAGGUGGAAGAAGUGGGCAGUGCAUAGGGUGAAGUAAGUCAGGAAAAAACGUCUUGGAGGUGGAACAUUGCUCUCUGAAAAGAAAUGAACGUGACAGUAGACAAGGCUAUGGAAGCUUCAGAUCCUGGGAGGGGCUAGUCUUGGAGGUAGCAGAGCCCUGCUCACUGGAAGGGGUGUGCCUGGCUACACAGGCCCCUUUUGGCUCACAGCAGCGCAUCUGUGGAAACCCAGGUUACCACUGUCUGUGCCUCAUCAAAGUCUGCCUGCUGCUUGGCGACAUCACGCUCCAGACCUGUCUCUAGGAGCCGUGUGACUGAAGGUCAAGGGUGUCUCCAGGGAGCUCUCACCUGCCUGGUUCGCCCCUGCCCUGCCCUCUGAUUGGUUAUCCACACACCCACAAAGUUGUUUCACUCUCUGCUCUAAAACAGUACAGGAUUUCUGGUGGCAAGGGAUGCAGCCUUCAUUACCACCCCCCAACCCGCACCCCAACACAAAGCAGAGGAUACAAAACAAAUGGAGGCUUCAUAUGUUCUGGCAGCAAGUCCUCGCCCAGAAAUCUGGAGAUGCAAAUAAAGGCCCCCUCGAACAAAACUCGCUAAACGUGCUGAGUGGCCACGAGCCCAUCCAAGAUAAAACUAAACUAGAAAACAUCUAAAGGCAUGGAAGAGGAGAAGGAAGCCAGGCUCUCAGCCCUGGCUGUGGAGGAGCUCCGCUCCGAAGGGCGAGGUCUGUCCACCAGGGAACAGGGGAGCCUGGUCUCUGGAGCGUGGAAACCACACCUGCCACCUUCCCCCGCGCACCAUGGUGGAUGCUACAGACAACAAAAGACUAGCUUUAUUAUUAUCUCCUGGGAAAACCCCGAUUACUUCGCUCUAUGACAUCCCCACUGAGAACUGCCACCAGCUCUACAGGUGAUCAGUUCUCACAUUAGGACUCAAAUGGAAGAAGGCUUUCCCCAAAAGUUGUCAAAAUUUAAUAUUCAAACUCGUAUAGCUAUCUGCAUCCGAUUCAUCUCACAAAGAAUCUUCUCCACAACCCAGGGUCUCUACAAGAAGCCAACAACUUGCAUGUGCUUAGAAAUCUCUGAGCAACCAGGGGUUCGUGUGUGCAUCCCUGGACACCGGGACUGCCUUCGUGAUGCUGUAAAUGGGCCCCGUCGUCCCAACUGCUAAGGUGCUUGGGAGCAGCCUGCGGAGAGGGAAGCACUGAGAGUGAGCCUGGAGGGAGCCUGGGGUCACUGUCACAGAGUUUGUACUUGAAACCUCCCCUGGGGGGUGCCAAGUCAGUAAUCCGGAAACCCUGGCACAAUCAGGAAAGGAGGGUGAAGGGAGGGGCGGUGGGAGCCACUGAGGACAGAGCCGGGUGGGGGGUCCACCUGGCUUCUUGCCUCCCUGAGCAGUUUUUGACUGAAUACUGUCUUUCUAGAUUUUGAUUUCCUCAUCCUUCAAAUGCAAAAGACCUGAAUUAGAUAUCCCAGCUGUAGCAUUCUCUGACUGGGGGAAUUUUAAAGAACAGGAUGUGCGCGCAUCCCUUAUGGAAUUUCUUAUUCGACAGAAUUCAUCCUAGAAACCCUGUUCCUGCACUGGAGGCUGCCUCUACAAAGCAAGAGAGGAAUGUACCAUCUCACAACAGUCUUACAGUCUUACAAGAAAAAGAAAAGGAAAGCCAGAUGCACUGACUCAUGCCUGUAAUCCCAGCACUUUGAGAGGCUGAACGGGAGCAUGACCUGAGGUCAGGAGUUCAAGACCAACCUGGCCAACAUGAUGAAACCCCGUCUCUACUAAAAGUACGAAAAUUAGCUGGGUGUACAAAAUUACAAAAUUUAGUACAAAAAUUCACCUGCAGGAGAAUCACUUGAACCUGGGAGGCAGAGGUUGCAGUGAGCCGAGACUGCACCAUUGCACUCCAGCCUGUGUAAAAAGAGUAAAAUUCCACCUCAAAAAAAAAAAAAAAGGAAAAAAGGAACAGAAAAAAAAAAAGGAAGACAAAGCUAAGGAAGACCACGAUAAAGAAAAUAAAGGAGAAGAGAUGACUAUGAUGACCGUUCGCACAACUGUCAGAUGCAGGUCAUGGUGGUUAAAUGCAACAAAGCCCAGAGAUGUCUUGCCUGCCUUUCCUACCUUUACUAAUCAUCAAAUAUAUCCACAACCAGUUGCUCUUCAUCAGGAUUUGCUGGGUGCUAAGACUGAAUGCUUAUGUCCCCCUCACAAUUAAGGGAUUGAGUGUUCUUACAAAAGAGACUCCAGAGAGAUCCUGUGUCCCUUUCACCAGCAUGCUCCUCCACCUGUCUGCAUGUCGGUUGCUGCGUCCAUAUAAAGUGCUGCAGGGAUAUUUCGAGAAGCUAAUAAGACAAGUCAAUGUGCAAAUACCUUGCAAGUAUCUAAAAUGAAAAAUGUGAGCUCUUCUUCCCCAAGCAAAGAAAAGACCCAAAUAAAAAAUAACACAUAUGUAGAGGUUAUCUAUGAUAUUUUAGAUUUUAUGAGCUCUCUAUAAAUGAACAUUUGUUUCCUUUGUUCCUGAAAUGAAACCAUUACCUGUUUUUCUUGUUUGCCUUUUCCAGCCUAUCUGCCAAAAGUUAUUUUAUUUUACAAAAUGUCUUCCUAAAUUAUCCAAUCCUUUUCCUUCUGAACAUUUAAAACCAUUCAAAAAACCCAAAGUACAUUUUGAUCUAAGCAAUUAAGUUUCUUUACAUCAGUAAUCCCAAUGUCAUGUUGCGAACGUCAUUCUAGAAAAUGUCCCACAGCAAGUUUUUAAUGGCCUGUAAGCAGAGGCUUUAAAAUAAGGACAUUUUUAAAUGCUGGGUCAGGAAUAACUUCAGUGAGGCUCCAGCCCCCUGCCGCGACCUUUCUGCUGACAUGUCUCUGUUGACGCCAAUAUGGAAAUCCACUUGUUUCCAGGCUUUCUCUCUUCAUACCUCAUUAGGAUUCUGCACUGUUACAAAGUAAAACCACUGCCAGGACCAUGAAAUAUGAGGCAAUGGAAUACUCUAAAAUCCCACACCAUUCUUCAUUUACUGUCUUUCCAUCAAGUCACCAAACCAAAACUAUCAAAUUGAUUGUACAAGGCAAGAGAUAUGACAGAGUUAGAUGCCCAGAACAUUUUUUGCAAUCCUUCUUUUCUGGCGGGGUGGAGAUCUGAAAAUGUAUCCCUUCUAGGUUUCUGUAAGUAAUCAGAAGAACUGCAAAUUAUACUUUUGUUUUUGCCAAACUUUUAAGCUUGACAUGAUUGAAACUUCUAGAUUCCUCUAGUUUUCUCCUCUAAAAGCAACACUUCCAGCUAGGUUUAGCUGCUUCGCUGGAGAGCAUGCUGCAAUGUACCCAGCUUACCAUGAUGUCCCAGACAUGCUUUAAUAUACAGCUAGCAUAAGCAUGCCUAUUUUACUAAGGAUUUUCAUUUAAUUUUGUCCUUCUAUAAAACUAUCUAACCUUGGACAGUAUUACAGAUGACUCCUGGUCAUGUGAGUAGGCCAGGGAUUAGGGAUUUGGAUAUGAGGUGCUCCUUAGGAUUUCCCUGCCAAAGCAUUCCCUGCUGGUGUGUUCCAAUCACAAAAGAUAGCAGUGCUGUUGGAAAAGGCGGUGGCAUUUUUGCCAUCCAGGAUCCAGAUGCUUUCUUCGCUCCUGGGAUGGUAGCAAAAAAAACCUCAAAUCUUCAAAGUGAAUACCAGCAUUGAUCUUUAAGUUCAGUGAUGGAAUUACUCUCAGAGGCUUCCAUAACUAAAUUGAAAUCUCCCCAAUUCAAAAUUUCAAAAUAGAGUUUUCUUCUUACCUUCUGUUUUUGUCUGAAUGCAGUUCCGUCUCUCUCUCUGCACCAUAACAAAUCUCGGAAUUGGCUUCCCCAAUUUCCACCAAUCACCCAGCACUGGAAAGUCUAGUCUGUGCCCCCACCGGACCACAGUGACCACCACCGUGUGGCUAAGCCAACCUCUGCUCCACGUGGGGGCCCCUCUGGCCACGCCAGGACCUUUCAUCUCAACCACCCACCAAAGCAAGUGUCAACAUCUCCUUACAGAUUUGCAUCAGAAAUGUUAAGAAAUGUUACUACAGGCAGCAGAAGAGCCACUCCUUACCUCCUGUUAAAACAUUAUAAAAAGGAAAUGUGUGAGGAAGAAGAGCAUAGGUUUGUGUACUAAAUCUCAGAAGAGCAGCUUUUCAAAACUCUGUCAGGCCUGGGAGACAAAGGAAAUAUAUCUUGACCUCACAGAGAGCAUUCAGGUGGAAAAAAGUAAUUUUUUUAACUUGAAAUUUACAUUUAACUAAAAUGAAUUUGUCUCACAAUGAAGAAAGACUAAAUAAAUCAUGGUAUAGCCUAAGUGGAAAAUGGUUCCACUGUUAGAAAUCCGCAUUGAUAAAAGCCAUUCACUAACGUCGGUGAGGCAGGAGAACAGUGGCUGGAGGGAGAGAACAUAAGGCCGAUUCACGCUGAUUUCCUAGAACUAAAUCAAAUGGAAACACUUCAGUGAUGACAGGUAAUACCCUCUCCAUUUACAUAGGGCAUACACAGAGUAAAUGACUUUGUAACUUAACUUCAUGCUCUUCAUUACACAGGGCAUACACCAAUAUAAACCAAUGGAAGUAACCAAUGGAAACCUCUAGAGGGUAUUUAAACCCCAGAAAAUUCUGUAACUGGGCUCUUGAGCCCGUGUGCUAGGACCACUCCCACCCUGUGGAGUGUACUUUCAUUUUCAAUAAAUCUCUGA
rnacentral:lncRNA from 10 species